rnacentral:rRNA from 1 species
CUGCUGCCUCCCGUAGGAGUUUGGUCCGUGUCUCAGUACCAAUGUGGGGGGUUGACCUCUCAGUCCCCCUAUGUAUCGUCGCCUUGGUGAGCCGUUACCUCACCAACUAGCUAAUACAACGCAUUGUCCAUCUCUGACCACCUGAGUUUUCAACCACCGAAGAUGCCUCCGGUGAUGUUAUGGGGUAUUAGUACCAAUUUCUCGAUGUUAUCCCCCUGUCAAAGGUAGGUUACAUACGCGUUACGCACCCGUCCGCCGGUCGCCGG